CACGUAGGGCGCAAGCGUUGUCCGGAAUUAUUGGGCGUAAAGAGCUCGUAGGCGGUCUGUUGCGUCCGCUGUGAAAACUCGGGGCUUAACCCCGAGCCUGCAGUGGAUACGGGCAGACUAGAGGUAGGUAGGGGAGAAUGGAAUUCCCGGUGUAGCGGUGAAAUGCGUAGAUAUCUGGAGGAACACCGGUGGCGAAGGCGGCGUUCUGGACUGCAACUGACACUGAGGAACGAAAGCCAGGGGAGCAAACGGG
rnacentral:rRNA from 1 species